rnacentral:rRNA from 1 species
AAAGGAAUUGACGGGGGCCCGCACAAGCGGUGGAGCAUGUGGUUUAAUUCGACGCAACGCGAAGAACCUUACCAAGGCUUGACAUCCCUCUGCUAGGACUUUAAUAGGUCUAUUCCUUCGGGACAGAGGAGACAGGUGGUGCAUGGUUGUCGUCAGCUCGUGUCGUGAGAUGUUGGGUUAAGUCCCGCAACGAGCGCAACCCUUACGUCUAGUUGCUACCAUUAAGUUGAGCACUCUAGAGGGACUGCCGGUGACAAACCGGAGGAAGGUGGGGAUGACGUCAAAUCAUCAUGCCCCUUAUGUCUUGGGCUACACACGUGCUACAAUGGGCAGUACAGAGGGCUGCGAGACCGUGAGGUGGAGCAAAUCCCUUAAAGCUGUUCUCAGUUCGGAUUGCAGGCUGCAACUCGCCUGCAUGAAGUCGGAAUCGCUAGUAAUCGCAGGUCAGCAUACUGCGGUGAAUACGUUCCCGGGCCUUGUACACACCGCCCGU